GUGUUCCUUACAGCAAUACACAUGCUUUAACAUUGGAACGGUAUAACACAGAGAUUAGCAUGGUCCUUGUGCGAGGAUGACAUGCAAAUCUGUGAAACAUUCCUUAUUUAA
ensembl:snRNA U6 U6 spliceosomal RNA